rnacentral:rRNA from 1 species
UGACUGGACUCUAAUGACAAUCUGGGACAUGACUUUUGUCAGGCAACUGACAGGAGAACAUGCGAUGCCCGGUGGAGAAUUUGCGGUAGCGGCCCUGCUUCUGGGGUUGGGUGACAUGGUCCUGAACCAUUGCCCCAGCGACGGAUGUCUGGCGCGCAAUGAGGUGCCCGCUUACCUGGGUGUCUCGGCCGGCACCGUGUUCUUUCAAGAGAACAAGGUGGGUGAAGAGAUCUAUCUUCGCCACACAACCUCCACAGCCCACGGGCCGUUCAACCUGACCUAUGGCGCCUCGGUCACCGAGGAUGCCGAAUUUUGGAUCGGGCUGGGCGAAAGCGUGAAUUUUGUCUCGACCAACCAGCGCUGGUAUGCGCAGUUCCAUGUGAUGCCCGGGCUUUAUGCCGAAGGGGAUGGCGUGGAUCUGGGCGGGCCGAUCGAGUUUCGAUCGGCGCCGAAGUGGGCUAUCAGGCCCGCAACGGCAUACGCUAUGCGCUGAGCUAUGAUCACCGCUCGAAUGCGGGGCUCUAUAGCGACAACCCGGGACUGGAGACAGUUCAAUUCCGGGUGUCCUUUCCGCUCAAGUAAGGCGGUAGGGCAAAAAAGGUUAUCAUUAGUGUCCAGUCUUGUGACGGCGUACCUUUUGUAUAAUGGGUCAUCGACUUGGUCUAUCUAGCAAGCUUAAGCCGUUAGGUGUAGGCGCAGCGAAAGCGAGUCUUAAUAGGGCGUUGAGUUAGAUGGAUCAGACCCGAAACCGAGUGAUCUAGGCAUGACCAGGAUGAAGGUACGGUAACACGUACUGGAGGUCCGAACCCACACCUGUUGAAAAAGGUCGGGAUGAGUUGUGCCUAGGGGUGAAAGGCCAAUCAAACUCGGAGAUAGCUGGUUCUCUGCGAAAUCUAUUUAGGUAGAGCGUCAUCCGAAUACCCUCGGGGUAGAGCACUGGAUGGGUAAUGGGGCCCCACAGGCUUACUGAUCCUAACCAAACUCCGAAUACCGAGGAGUACUAGAUGGCAGACAGACUGCGAAUGCUAACGUCCGUAGUCGAGAGGGAAACAACCCUGACCUACAGCUAAGGCCCCCAAUUCAUGGCUAAGUGGGAAAGCAGGUGGGACGACCAAAACAACCAGGAGGUUGGCUUAGAAGCAGCCAUCCUUUAAAGAUAGCGUAACAGCUCACUGGUCUAAAUAAGUUGUCCUGCGGCGAAGAUGUAACGGGGCUCAAAGCCAUGAGCCGAAGCUUAGGAUGCCGUAAGGCAUGGUAGCAGAGCGUAGUGUGACAUGGUUUCUAUCCUCUUUAGUGUCCCUCGGGACAUCAUGGAGGGUAAGAAAUCUUCGAUGAAGCGGGCCUGUGAGGGAUCCCGUGGAGAGAUCACUAGUGAGAAUGAUGACAUGAGUAGCGAUAAAGGGUGUGAGAGACACCCUCGCCGAAAGUCCAAGGGUUCCUGCUUAAAGCUAAUCUGAGCAGGGUAAGCCGACCCUAAGGCGAGGCCGAAAGGCGUAGUCGAUGGGAACCAGGUUAAUAUUCCUGGGCCAGAUGGAAGUGACGGAUCAGAGAGGUUGUUCGUUCUUAUCGGAUUGAACGGGCCGCUGACUGGUUCCUGGAAAUAGCUCCAUCAUGAGAUCGUACCCUAAACCGACACAGGUGGACUGGUAGAGAAUACCAAGGCGCUUGAGAGAACUAUGUUGAAGGAACUCGGCAAAAUACCUCCGUAAGUUCGCGAGAAGGAGGCCCGGUUUCCAGGCAACUGGAGGCUGGGGGCACAAACCAGGGGGUGGCGACUGUUUACUAAAAACACAGGGCUCUGCGAAGUCGCAAGACGACGUAUAGGGUCUGACGCCUGCCCGGUGCCUGAAGGUUAAAAGGAGGGGUGAGAGCUCUGAAUUGAAGCCCAGGUAAACGGCGGCCGUAACUAUAACGGUCCUAAGGUAGCGAAAUUCCUUGUCGGGUAAGUUCCGACCUGCACGAAUGGCGUAACGACUUCCCCGCUGUCUCCAACAUAGACUCAGCGAAAUUGAAUUGCCUGUCAAGAUGCAGGCUUCCCGCGGUUAGACGGAAAGACCCCGUGCACCUUUACUAUAGCUUCGCACUGGCAUCAGGAUUGUGAUGCAGGAUAGGUGGUAGGCUUUGAAGCAGGAACGCUAGUUUCUGUGGAGCCUCCCUUGAGAUACCACCCUUCGCACUCUUGAUGUCUAACCGCGGCCCGUUAUCCGGGUCCGGGACCCUGCGUGGUGGGUAGUUUGACUGGGGCGGUCGCCUCCUAAAGCGUAACGGAGGCGCGCGAAGGUUGGCUCAGAGCGGUCGGAAAUCGCUCGUUGAGUGCAAUGGCAGAAGCCAGCCUGACUGCGAGACUGACAAGUCGAGCAGAGUCGAAAGACGGCCAUAGUGAUCCGGUGGUCCCAAGUGGGAGGGCCAUCGCUCAACGGAUAAAAGGUACGCCGGGGAUAACAGGCUGAUACUGCCCAAGAGUCCAUAUCGACGGCAGUGUUUGGCACCUCGAUGUCGGCUCAUCUCAUCCUGGGGCUGGAGCAGGUCCCAAGGGUACGGCUGUUCGCCGUUUAAAGAGGUACGUGAGCUGGGUUUAGAACGUCGUGAGACAGUUCGGUCCCUAUCUGCCGUGGGUGUAGGAUACUUGAGAGGAGUUGCCCCUAGUACGAGAGGACCGGGGUGAACGAACCACUGGUGGACCUGUUGUGGCGCCAGCCGCAGUGCAGGGUAGCUAUGUUCGGACAGGAUAACCGCUGAAGGCAUCUAAGCGGGAAGCCCCCCUCAAAACAAGGUAUCCCUGAGGGCCGUGGUAGACCACCACGUCGAUAGGCCGGAGAUGUAAGCGCAGCAAUGCGUUCAGUUGACCGGUACUAAUGGCCCGAUAGGCUUGAUUUG